rnacentral:lncRNA from 1 species
UCUGCGGAGCUGGGCCCUAGGCUGACCCUCGGGAAGCUGGGCGAGGUGAUAGUGGAGCUGCUGCCACAUGACCUGAGUCCAUGACUCAUUUUCCAUGGCCUCCAAGGGGAGAUAUUGGACACCUGGGAAAGCCUUCUGAAAUCCACACACACUUGAACAUCUCCCUGACCUGCUCAAGACUAUUCAGAUCUACAAAGUAAGUGCCAAACUCUAUGCUAUGGGCCCAACCACCCAGGCCAGGGCUGUUUCCAACCCAGGAGCCCUCAAGUAAUGGUGAAGGAUGACAAGGCCCCUGAUGCAGAAGAAGAGCCAUUUUAUUAGGUGAGGCACAUGGGAUGUUACACACGCCUGGUGGGAAAGGAGAGGGGGCAGGUUCCUCGGAGAGAAGGCAACUGUGUCAUCUUCCAGCACAUGGGCCAGCCAUCUGUGAGCACUGGGAAGCUGGGCCAGAGGAAAUGGAUUGAGCAGCAAGAAAUAGUUCUGUUGGGGGAAGACCCUAAUCAGGAUGGAGACUCAAGAUGUUUGUCUCUUUCUUUGGAUGUCAUUGUCCCAAGCUCCCGUCUGCCUUCUACCAGGAGAAGAACAGCCAGCCCCCAAAACCCUGGGGUGUGGGGAAGGG